rnacentral:ribozyme from 1 species
GGUGUGCGAUAGACCCACCUCCACGUGGUGCACCCUGGGCAACGUAUUCUCAUACGGCAAAAAAGUCUAU